UUUUAUAAACAAUCAAAAUAGGUUUAAGGUUUAUAGUGCUCGUUUUACUUCUCUCCCUACUCCACGAUAUGUUCCGCUCCCCCAUCCUUACCUCCCCGCUGCUCUCUGUCUCCCUCUGGAUUUUCAGCAUAUAAAUGACAAUUUGUUAAGUGCUGGAACAUGUUUCUGCAUGUGCAGUUUUAUGUAAACAAGAUCGAAUUUGAAGGCUGAAGAAGGAUAGUUGGAUACUUGAUAACAAAUGAGUAUGGGCUCUUUAGGAAGACUCUCAGUGGCUAUGCAUUUAGGGAGGCCAGCAAAUACGAAUUUGUGGGCAAGCAUAUGCAUAAGCAGAGUGUGGUGGACAUGGCCUAAUCUACAAUUUGUGAAGACUUAGUCAUUUGAAUUGUGAUUGUGAAUUAGGUGCAUUUAAAAGUAAUAUGUAACAUUUGAUACCUCAUCAAUUGAGAUCUUUUGGAAUGUGAGGUGGCAAGCUUUUUAAUGUGUAUUCAUGGAGGCUAAUUAGCAACAAAUGAUUCAUAUGCUGAGAAGUUACACUGA